UGAAAAGAAAAACAUCGGCCUAACCUUUAACUGGCUGUGGUGUUUAGAUCAUUGCUGAUGGGAGGCAACUCCAUGAUUUCGAAAGCUUUCGAUCUCUUUGAGCCGAACCAAGUUUAAGGAUUUUUAGCUGCAUUUUAACAUCUCAACAAAGCCACAUCUUAAUCUGCCAGUAUGCAAAGGGUUGUCUAAUCCUUAGCAUUUGAACUCAUAGUAACCUCUGCAUUUUUCUUCUUUACUGCAUAGCUGAUCUCACUAUAAACCUGACUCCACAUGAAGAUUGUGAAAGAAACUCUCUUCCGCUCGUGCUGAAGGGAUGAGUCUCUUCCUUUCACAUCUUGUAAUUUCUGUCAUAUUUACAUUCACUGUUCUUUUACAGCGUUGAAACUUCACAAAAAUUCAAAGAUUUCAAUAUUCUACAGAUGUUUUUCAAUGAUUUACCUGACCUAUAGCUUGCUUCCAGACAUUGUUUUUCAGCUGUAUUUCGGCAAGCAAAAGUAACUGUAGUGGAAACAUUCAUCUGCAGAAAGAAGGGUGCGGUCCUAUUCUAAGCACAUUCAACACCAAACGGUUAAGACUCGAAAGUCACGAGUUCGAAUCUUGCAAUAGGAGGAGUAUAAUCAUCAUAUGAUCUAGAAGAGGGACUGUUCUAUCCCCACAUGGACGAAAAGGUUUGAAGACGAUAGUCAUGCAAGGGCAAUCCGUGAUAUAAGUUUCUGAAGGCCAGAGGGUAGAAGAAACAUUUGAAGAAGCUCAAAUGCUCCCAGGCAUUGGAUGCUUGCCAUCAUCAUCGUGUGUCGUCCAUUGACGGAAGAGUGGUUAUUGGUCGUCAAUUUGCAUCAACAAAAGCCGUUUAUCGUUGAUUUUGUGGUGUAUCGUUCGUUGAUUUGCAACGUUGGAAGAGGGGGAUAGUUAAUAGUAGAGUCCGACAAUAGAAGAGAUGGGCGGUAGUAGUUGAUUUGGCGGUGAUAAUAGUAGGAGUUUUAGGGAUUUAUGACUUUUCGAUAAUUUAGGAAAUUUAGGGUUUUGAGAAAUUCUUUAAAUUUAGGGUUUAGGACAACAUUUCAAAAUUCAUAUCCA